GAUGAACGCUAGCGGCAGGCCUAACACAUGCAAGUCGAGGGAGAGGUUACCUUCGGGUAACCAAAACCGGCGCACGGGUGCGUAACGCGUAUACAAUCUGCCUUUCACAUAGGGAUAGCCCGAAGAAAUUUGGAUUAAUACCUAAUGGUAUAUAAGAGCGGCAUCGUUUUUAUAUUAAAGCUACGGUGGUGAAAGAUGAGUAUGCGUUCUAUUAGCUAGUUGGAGAGGUAACGGCUCCCCAAGGCGACGAUAGAUAGGGGUUCUGAGAGGGAUGUCCCCCACACUGGUACUGAGAUACGGACCAGACUCCUACGGGAGGCAGCAGUGAGUAAUAUUGGACAAUGGUCGGAAGACUGAUCCAGCCAUGCCGCGUGCAGGAUGAAGGUCCUAUGGAUUGUAAACUGCUUUUGUAAGGGAAGAAUAAGGAGUACGUGUACUUUGAUGACGGUACCUUACGAAUAAGCAUCGGCUAACUCCGUG
rnacentral:rRNA from 1 species